GGAAGAGCGGUUGCAGUUCCUAGACCUGGUGGGGUUCUCGUGUGACGAGGGUUACCAGCUGAAGGGCGGGAAAACGCGCUGGUGCGACAAGGACGGCAAGUGGCGAGGCAGGAAGGGCAACAGGGAGCUGCCCACGUGCCUUCCGUUCACUACAGACGUGAGCGGCGGUAACGACACGUGUAUUGACGUCUACUCAGGCUGUAGGAAUUUCGUCUCGUUCUGUUCCCUUGGCAACCUGUACCUCAGAACCAACUGCAGACGGACGUGCGGCUUCUGUUAGAACCGACGCGGAGCGAUCUCAUUGGUCCGAGGAUUGUUACGUCACAGUCAAGCGAUUUUAUUGGUGCACACUUUUGAACGUCACAUUCGAACGAUUUCAUUGGUCAACACUUCGUUACGUCACGUUCGAAACAUUUUAGCAGUCCACACUUUUAUUACGUCACAUUUGAGUGAUAUUAUUGGUCCACACUUCGUUACGUCACUUUCAAGCGAUGUUAUUGGUCAAUACGUUGUUAGGUCACAAAUCAAGGUCUUCAUCGCAUGGACACUGCAGUUUUAUGACCAAUACGAUAUUUCUGCAAAUUACAAGUCUGUUCAUUACGAUUGUCAAUGUGACGUAACAAUGACGACAACCAAUGAGACUGCUCCAUUAUUUCGUCCUUGUAUGAUUGGGUCUACUUUGUAAAAAUGUGGUAUUUAUGUAUCUACAGUAAGUCAAAGAGAUGGUAAGGUUUAACCGAUGACGACAGUAUAGCACUCUUUUCCAAAAUAAGUAACGCUAAUACUUUUCAGAAAAAAGAAGAUACGAAUUUGUUGUCGUAUCAUAUGUCUGGCGACAAGGCAUUUGUAAUAUUUGUAUUAUAAAGUUUCGUCUUAGGUAAAAAGCUCGUAGUUUAGGCGAUUAGUAUACAAAUGCGUGUUGAGUUGCAUGACCAUAUCUGUUGACUAUGAAAGAAUGAGAGGGUAGAUGGGAAUAUGCCAUUGUAUUGUAGUCGUAGCUAAGCAUUAUGAAUGUUUAGUGCCUUGUUCUUGUGUUAACAUAUGUCAAAUUUAACGCCGAGAAAUAUCUUGAUUGUACUAGUAUUGGAUGCGUUGAAAACAUUACCAUGGUUCUCUUUAUAUUAACUGUUCGAUCUAGAGUUGGAACAUGACAAACUUUUAUAUGUUGGAUAUCAUCUACAAAAAUAACAGAUUUUGUACAUCGCUAUUGUAUGCUCGAUUUAAGAUGUUCUUAGUGUAUAAAUUGUAAUGUUUGUGUUAAAUAAAGACUUGUAGUCGUACUCUG